rnacentral:rRNA from 1 species
GAUGAACGCUGGCGGCGUGCCUAAUACAUGCAAGUCGAGCGAACAGAUGAGGAUCUUGCUCCUCUGACGUUAGCGGCGGACGGGUGAGUAACACGUGGAUAACCUACCUAUAAGACUGGGAUAACUUCGGGAAACCGGAUCUAAUACCGGAUAAUAUAUUGAACCGCAUGGUUCAAUAGUAAAAUACGGUUUUGCUGUCACUUAUAGAUGGAUCCGCGCCGCAUUAGCUAGUUGGUAAGGUAACGGCUUACCAAGGCAACGAUGCGUAGCCGACCUGAGAGGGUGAUCGGCCACACUGGAAAUGAGACACGGUCAAGACUCCUACGGGAGGCAGCAGUAGGGAAUCUUCCGCAAUGGGCGAAAGCCUGACGGAGCAACGCCGCGUGAGUGAUGAAGGUCUUUGGAUCGUAAAACUCUGUUAUUAGGGAAGAACAAAUGUGUAAGUAACUAUGCACGUCUUGACGGUAACUAAUCAGAAAGCCACGGCUAACUACGUG